rnacentral:rRNA from 1 species
AGAACGAACGCUGGCGGCGUGCUUAACACAUGCAAGUCGAACGCGAAAGGGACUUCGGUCCUGAGUAAAGUGGCGCACGGGUGAGUAACGCGUAGAUAACCUGUCUUCAUGUCUGGAAUAAUACGCCGAAAGGGGUACUAAUACCGGAUAUUCUUGCUUUUCAUAAGUUAUGCAAGCAAAGGUGGCCUCUGCAUAUGCUACUGCAUGAAGAGGGGUCUGCGUACCAUUAGCUAGUAGGUGGGGUAAUGGCCUACCUAGGCGACGAUGGUUAGCGGGUCUGAGAGGAUGAUCCGCCACACUGGCACUGGAACACGGGCCAGACUCCUACGGGAGGCAGCAGUGAGGAAUAUUGCGCAAUGGGGGUAACCCUGACGCAGCGACGCCGCGUGAGUGAGGAAGGCCUUCGGGUCGUAAAGCUCUGUCAAGAGGAAAGAAGUGUACAAUGGCUAAUACCUGUUGUAUUUGACGGUACCUCUAAAGGAAGCACCGGCUAACUCCGUGCCAGCCGCCGC